GUUCUCUGCCCCAUCAGCCCCUGCCUGCAGAGAGCAACCCUUACAAAGUUUCUUAAGAAUACCAGCAUGUCUCUUAUCAAGGUCAGGCUACCAUUGAGUCCAUUUUUAAGUUAAAAAAAGGGGGGUGAGGGGGGAGAAAACUGCUGGAGCCAUUCCAAGCUGCUCAACUAACAGAUUAAAUCAAGAACCUCUGAAAGCCAUCACUGCUAGCUCCAAACCUAACCUGUGUGAUAAUCAACUCAUCUCAUCUUUGGAGGCCUGUUUUCUGGAAGUACUUGUAAUGCUAAAUGCUGAACUAGUCAGAAGACAGCCAAGAAAAAAGAAAUCACUCCAAGUAUAUCAACAUCUAUGACAGUGAUGUAAGGCCUCAUCUUCCAGGAGUUCUAUUUGGAACAUCAGAAUGAAGAAGGUCUCUAUGCUGCUAAUAAUGGACCAUCACAUCCAUUGCUAUCACCCGGCUUUCCAUACAUGUCCAGGAAAACUUGGAACUGAAAGUGAGUGAGAUUAACACAGACCAGUCAUUCAGCCUAAAUGAGUCAUUAAAUAAUAU